AAUCUGUGUUAAGGGCAGCAUCAAAUCAAAUCUUCAUACCUCUCAUAUGCUUCAUAGAGUGACUCAAAAUCAUUUUGCUUGAAUUGACCAAUCUUACUCCCAAGUUU